CCAUGGGACAGUAAAAAAAAGAACAACCAAACACAGAAAAAGAACCAACUGAGUUUCACUUAAAAUUGUCAUAAAACGUGAUAAAUUUUUAAAAACAGCUGCAGCACAUCGCAUUAUGUUACAACAAUGUGUGUUGCAGACACAUAUAGUGGUAUCUAAAAUUAAAUUGUUCAAAGACUCAACAAUGUGUUGCCUUGGAUAACACAUGCCCAUAAAAUUCCUCUAACCAGACCAAAGCAACUAAUGGACUGACUAGGGAACUGUCAAAACAACCGUCUAUCUACUUAUACUUUUACUAAGUAUAAACGUGUAUGUCUGUUAGAAUUUUAAAUCUGUGCCAAA